rnacentral:lncRNA from 1 species
GCUUGCCACUGGGGGAGCCUGCCUUUGGGAACCCAGAGGAACUAGAGAAUGGAGGGGCAGCAGCGCCACGGCCAAGGAGAGUCGAACUCAGAGAGUCUUCAGGGUCACUAGGCUGGAGCCCAAGCCUUGGCUCUGCCCCGCCAGAGGGCAGCCGCGGGGCCUCCUGGGAGAUGCAGUUCCCGCGCGCUUCCAGCGGCCUGCGCGCGAGCAGGUGCCAACGGUGCCAACGACACCAACGGUGCCCAAGGAGCCAGAGGGGCUGGCAACCGAAAGGAGAGAGGCCACGUCCUGCUGAGCCGCCGAGGGAUCAGGCUAGCCCGAGGUGGGGCUCGCAGCACUGCCUCUCCAGAGCCCCUGGCCACCAUGGCAGUGGUUUACCGUUGGGCCAGCUGCCAGUCACUGGGCAGCACCUUAGCUGCUGUAUUCACCAUGCUGAGAGAGGCGGCUUACAUCCUGCCCAGAGAAGCAGGACGCCCACAGAGGCAUGCCCACCCUCACUAAGCGGUCUUGGAGGAGGGCUUUCUGAGAGCAGUGAAGACUUCAAAGAGUGGCCUGGAGGCCUGCUGGGCAGAUCCACCUAUCACAGCCAGAGAAUAACCGGAACAGAUUUGCAGCGGAGCAAUGAUUUGUUGCCUGCUGGACCAAGGGAGUCUACACAACACGUAAAACACAGGUAAGGCGCUGUUGGAAAGGACGGUAGGAUGCGGGUGUGUAGUCAAUUGAUUUGCGGAUACGUUUAAGGAAGUGAGGUCUUUUGAAAGUUGUUUGUCAGGAAGAGGCGGUAAUUCUGGGACUGGAUUUUUUUUUUUCUCUUUGAGACUAAGAGAAAACACACAGAGAAACAAACCUGUGAUUAGUAAAGCAGCAGCAGUUUUUGGUUGCUGAGAUGAGGGGUGUUUGGUAUUUUUGUGGCUUGGCCUACAUUGGUGUCGUCUCUGGUCUCUGUCUAACCCAGGGGAACAGCGCAGACUCACGCCACUCGCGGUCGGUCAGAGGCCGCUUUGCCUGCUCAAUCGCACGGGAACAACGGACGGGUGCGGACCUGACUCCCUUCGCCUGAGACCGCGCGAGUGCAGGAUGACUGCCACUGUCGUGUGGACCGAAAGCCGGUCCGGACGUCGGCUGGGCUCCACCACCCCGCUCUUCCCGGGAAACGCCGCCGCAUCAACUUGACAGGAGAGCGGCUGCCCGGGCCAGAAACGCUCGUGCGCUUGCGCAGCCCAACCCCGCCCCCGCGCGUAGCACUCUGGGGCGGCGGCUGCGCGGCGCGCGAUUGGCA